GAUGAACGCUGACAGAAUGCUUAACACAUGCAAGUCUACUUGAACUUCGGUUUGGGUGGCGGACGGGUGAGUAACGCGUAAAGAACUUGCCUCACAGAUAGGGACAACAUUUGGAAACGAAUGCUAAUACCUGAUAUUAUGAUUUUAGGGCAUCCUAGAAUUAUGAAAGCUAUAUGCACUGUGAGAGAGCUUUGCGUCCCAUUAGCUAGUUGGAGAGGUAACGGCUCACCAAGGCGAUGAUGGGUAGCCGGCCUGAGAGGGUGAUCGGCCACAAGGGGACUGAGACACGGCCCUUACUCCUACGGGAGGCAGCAGUGGGGAAUAUUGGACAAUGGACCAAGAGUCUGAUCCAGCAAUUCUGUGUGCACGAUGAGGUUUUUCGGAAUGUAAAGUGCUUUCAGUUGGGAAGAAAAAAAUGACGGUACCAACAGAAGAAGUGACGGCUAAAUACGUG
rnacentral:rRNA from 1 species